UUUUCUUAUAUUUUGUAUGAAUAUUUGCUAAGAAUCCAUUUUAAAGAAUUAUGUUGAUUUUUUUUAAAAAAAUGCUUUUUGUAUCACUGUUCUCUCAAGUACUUGGGGAUCAUGGGGGCUGGAAGUAACAAUGGGCUGUGAAAUACAUAGUGAAAGAAAAAUUGCAUUAGAAACAGCUUUCUAACUGUAGAGGAAAUAUAAUAUUUAUUCAAGGAUUUUUUUGUAUCAGUUUUCAUUACUGUGGUUUCUAAAUCAUUCUUACAUGACUUACAAUACUCAUGCCUAAAUUAAUUUUCAUAAAAUUGUGGAAUUUCCCUGGUGCCUUUAGUUUGGAAUAUAUAAUAUACAUUGCACAUAACUUUUCUUUUUUUACUUGGACCCUUGAUAUUUUGGUAUCAUAGCAUUUGAGGAGACCUAUAUUCUCUAUUUCUUUCCGUGACUCCAUAUUUAUACUAAAGUAAUAUUGGGAAUUAUGGCAACCCAGAAAUCUAGAAUCUGUAUCUUAAUACUUGUAUUAAAAUGGCUUGCAUAUCCAUACUUUGAGUCUUUCCACUAAAAGUGACAGUAAUUAAAAAAAAAACUAUAAGUAAAUAGCAGAAAGAUUAGAAGAACAGAAGGAAGUACUAGGUCCUGAAUUAGAACAAAUUAUAUUCUAUGCUUUUAUAAUUAUAUUCUAGUAUAUAACUUCUAUUUUGACGUAUAACUGAAAAGAACCAAUAAAAAUUCUAAAGGUAAUGAAAUUUUCUAAAAAUUUACUCUUCAUCUAAUCAAAGAAUAAAUGGUGUGUGCAAGGUAAUAACCAGUUCUGGAAGCAGAAACAUUCAAUAAUUGUAUGGUAAUACUUUAGUUUCAGAAUUGUUGUUUUUCCAUUAUAGUUUCUUAAAAUAUAUAAAUUCUAUGUCUAAUUUUGAAAUUUAAAAUUUUAGAUGUUUCUGUAUUUACUUACUUUAAUGUUUAUUGUAAAACACUACUAUUUUUAUGAACUAUUCCAGGUUAGGAAAUAUAUUUGCAUAUAUCCUGGAGAAGCUAAAAUAAGGUUAAAUGUAAACGAUAUCUUUUGUUUUGAAAUUACUUUAAUUUUAUUUCA
rnacentral:lncRNA from 1 species